UACGUAGGGUGCAAGCGUUGUCCGGAAUUAUUGGGCGUAAAGAGCUCGUAGGCGGUUUGUCGCGUCUGCUGUGAAAACGCGAGGCUCAACCUCGCGCCUGCAGUGGGUACGGGCAGACUAGAGUGCGGUAGGGGAGAUUGGAAUUCCUGGUGUAGCGGUGGAAUGCGCAGAUAUCAGGAGGAACACCGAUGGCGAAGGCAGAUCUCUGGGCCGUAACUGACGCUGAGGAGCGAAAGCAUGGGGACGCGAACAGG
rnacentral:rRNA from 1 species